GUUGGAUCCAAAUAUGAUAUGCUUUUGGAGCUUUCAAGAAGAGAAAAGAUGGCAGGAAUAAAACCUGAUGAAGAUCUUGACAUAUUCAUCAAAGCGUUAGCUUUGGAGGGGAAUGAUGCUGGACUUGUUGUUGAGUACAUACUAAAGAUUCUAGGUUUAGACAAUUGUGCGGACACCUUGGUCGGGGAUGAAAUGCUCAAGGGGAUCUCUGGAGGCCAGAAAAAACGGCUCACCACUGGUGAGUUGUUGGUGGGUCCAUCAAGAGUGCUCUUCAUGGAUGAAAUCUCAACAGGGCUUGAUAGUUCCACAACAUACAAAAUUAUUAAAUAUCUUAGACAUUCAACGCAUGCACUCGAUGGAACUACUGUUAUUUCUCUUCUUCAACCUGCUCCAGAGACGUAUGAUCUAUUCGAUGACAUUAUUCUUUUGUCUGAAGGCCAGAUUGUGUAUCAAGGACCUCGUGAAGAUGUCCUUAACUUUUUUGAAUAUAUGGGAUUUCAUUGUCCCGAGAGGAAGAAUGUCGCAGACUUCCUUCAGGAAGUUGUCUCUAUGAAGGACCAAGAACAGUACUGGGCUGUUUCUCAUCGCCCGUAUCAUUACAUACCAGUGACCAAGUUUGCUGAAGCUUUUCGAUCAUACCGCACUGGGAAGAAUUUAUCUGAAGAGCUAACUAUUCCUUUCGAUAAACGCUACAAUCAUCCUGCAGCCUUGUCAACUUCUAAAUAUGGAGCGAAAAAAACGCAACUUCUUAAAACUGGCUUUGACUGGCAACUUCUGCUCAUGAAAAGGAAUUCGUUUAUUUAUAUUUUCAAAUUUUUUCAGCUCUUCUUGGUUUCUUUGAUCACCAUGAGUGUUUUCUUCCGCACAACUCUGCAUCACAAUACAAUUGAUGAUGGAGGCCUAUAUCUUGGGCAACUGUAUUUUUCCAUGGUUAUUAUUCUGUUCAAUGGUUUCACGGAGGUCUCCAUGCUUAUUGUCAAGCUUCCGGUCAUUUACAAGCAUAGAGACUUGCAUUUCUAUCCAUGCUGGGUCUAUACACUUCCUUCUUGGGUAUUGAGCGUUCCAACUUCCCUGGUUGAAUCUGGUUUAUGGGUAGCAGUGACAUAUUAUGUUGUUGGAUUCGAUCCAAGUGUUGCACGAUUCUUUAAACAAUUUUUGCUUUUCUUUUUUCUGCAUCAAAUGUCUCUUGCACUUUUUCGUCUAAUGGGAGCCUUGGGUCGCAAUAUGAUUGUUGCAAACACUUUUGGAUCUUUUGCUAUGUUGAUUGUCAUGGCUCUUGGGGGAUAUAUUAUUUCAA
rnacentral:misc_RNA from 1 species